UGGAGCAUGCGGUUUAAUUCGACGCAACGCGAAGAACCUUACCUGGGCUUUGACAUCCCGAUCGCACCUUAUGGAGACAUAGGGGUCAGUUCGGCUGGAUCGGUGACAGGUGCUGCAUGGCUGCCGUCAGCUCGUGUCGUGAGAUGUUCGGUUAAGUCCGCUAACGAGCGCAACCCUCGUCGUAUGUUAUAUGUGUCAUACGAGACUGCCGGUAAAAGCCGGAGGAAGGUGAGGAUGAUGUCAAGUCAGCAUGACCUUUAUAUCCAGGGCUACACACACGCUACAAUGGUCUGUACAAUGGGUAGCCAAGCCGCGAGGCGGAGCCAAUCCUGAAAGCAGGCCUCAGUUCAGAUUGCAGUCUGCAACUCGACUGCAUGAAGCCGGAGUUGCUAGUAACCGCAGGUCAGCAAUACUGCGGUGAAUACGUUCCCGGGUCUU
rnacentral:rRNA from 1 species